rnacentral:tRNA from 1 species
ACUUUAAUAGUUUAUUUAGAAUUAUAAUUUGUGGGGUUAUAGGUGUAUUUAUACUUAAGGUA